AGUGAACGCUGGCGGUAGGCCUAACACAUGCAAGUCGAACGGCAGCACAGUAAGAGCUUGCUCUUACGGGUGGCGAGUGGCGGACGGGUGAGGAAUACAUCGGAAUCUACUUUUUCGUGGGGGAUAACGUAGGGAAACUUACGCUAAUACCGCAUACGACCUACGGGUGAAAGCAGGGGAUCUUCGGACCUUGCGCGAUUGAAUGAGCCGAUGUCGGAUUAGCUAGUUGGCGGGGUAAAGGCCCACCAAGGCGACGAUCCGUAGCUGGUCUGAGGGGCUGAUCAGCCACACUGGAACUGAGACACGGUCCAGACUCCUACGGGAGGCAGCAGUGGGGAAUAUUGGACAAUGGGCGCAAGCCUGAUCCAGCCAUACCGCGUGGGUGAAGAAGGCCUUCGGGUUGUAAAGCCCUUUUGUUGGGAAAGAAAAGCAGCAGGUUAAUACCCCGCUGUUCUGACGGUACCCAAAGAAUAAGCACCGGCUAACUUCGUG
rnacentral:rRNA from 1 species